rnacentral:rRNA from 1 species
GAUGAACGCUGGCGGCGUGCCUAAUACAUGCAAGUCGAGCGAACGGACGAGAAGCUUGCUUCUCUGAUGUUAGCGGCGGACGGGUGAGUAACACGUGGAUAACCUACCUAUAAGACUGGGAUAACUUCGGGAAACCGGAGCUAAUACCGGAUAAUAUUUUGAACCGCAUGGUUCAAAAGUGAAAGACGGUCUUUCUGUCACUUAUAGAUGGAUCCGCGCUGCAUUAGCUAGUUGGUAUGGUAACGGCUUACCAAGGCAACGAUGCAUAGCCGACCUGAGAGGGUGAUCGGCCACACUGGAACUGAGACACGGUCCAGACUCCUACGGGAGGCAGCAGUAGGGAAUCUUCCGCAAUGGGCGAAAGCCUGACGGAGCAACGCCGCGUGAGUGAUGAAGGUCUUCGGAUCGUAAAACUCUGUUAUUAGGGAAGAACAUAUGUGUAAGUAACUGUGCACAUCUUGACGGUACCUAAUCAGAAAGCCACGGCUAACUACGUG